CUCCGCCGCCGCGCCGCCGCCGGGACCGCUCGGACCGCCGGGCCCGAGACGGCGCCCGGUAUUCGCCUCGGUUCGUGUAUUUCCCUUCCUCCAUGAUCUCCAGCACUGAUAAAGUAGAAGAAACUGAGGUACCCUGAAAGAGAAAAGUAACUGGGAGUGAGGAAAAGAAAGAGUACUGGAGUUUGAACUCAGGGCCUACAUCUUGAGCCACCAG